UUGGUGGAGUCCAAUUUGACAGCUCACAGA
rnacentral:piRNA from 1 species